GCGGGGGUGAGGGACGGAGGGCAGGGUCGGAGGCGGGGGUGGGGGACGGCGGGCAGGGCCGGAGGCGGAGGUGAGGGACGGAGGGCAGGGUCGGAGGCGGAGGUGAGGGACGGAGGUCAGGGCCGGAGGCGGGGGUGAGGGACGGAGGUCAGGGUCGGAGGCGGAGGUGAGGGACGGAGGUCAGGGCCGGAGGCGGGGGUGAGGGACGGAGGUCAGGGUCGGAGGCGGAGGUGAGGGACGGAUGGCAGGGUCGGAGGCGGGGGUGAGGGCUGGCGGGCAGGGCCGGAGGCGGGGGUGAGGGACGGAGGUCAGGGUCGGAGGCGGAGGUGAGGGACGGAGGGCAGGGUCGGAGGCGGGGGUGAGGGCUGGCGGGCAGGGUCGGAGGCUGGGGUGGGGGACGGACGGCAGGGUCGGAGGUGAGGGACGGAGGGCAGGGCCGGAGGCGGGGGUGAGGGAUGGCAGUUGUUUUCCCUUUCCUUUCACACCUUUUGAUUGUGUGUAGAUAGAUUCAAGUAAAUCAAAGGUACACAUGAUACUACUUCAAUCAUAACAGCUGCUGAACCACAGUGUGUGCUGGGCACUUGGUUAAGUGCUUUGCACCAAUGAAUUCAUUCAUUUCUUCCAAUAACCACAUGAAAUAUAGAUACCCCAGGACUCCAUUUACAAAUGAGAAAAAUCAAGAGCUAGAAGAUUAGUACUGAAGCUCAAGCAAACUGGCUCGGGGACCCAUGUAUUUGACCAAUAAAAUGUGCUGCCUCCUGAUAACUGAAUGUUGAAAUUACAUAAAUGCGAAAGACAAGUGUGUGUGGAAUAUGGAUUAGUGUUUCCCAA
rnacentral:lncRNA from 10 species